rnacentral:rRNA from 1 species
AAUGAACGCUGGCGGCAUGCCUAAUACAUGCAAGUCGAGCGAGCGGCGGACGGGCGAGUAACGUAUGGGGACUAGCUCGAUAGCGGGGGAUAACUACUGGAAACGGUGGCUAAUACCGCAUACCAUCGGAUGAACCCAUGUGGGAUUAGCUAGUAGGUGGGUUAAAGGCUCACCUAGGCAACGAUGUAUAGCUGGUCUGAGAGGGUGAACAGCCACACUGGGACUGAGACACGGCCCAGACUCCUACGUGAGGCAGCAGUGGGGAAUCGUGCGCAAUGGGCGAAAGCCUGAUGGAGCCAUGCCGCGUGUAUGAGGAAGGCCUUCGGGUUGUAAAGUACUUUCAGCAGGGAAGCGUUACCUGAAGAAGAAGCCCCGGCUAACUCCGUGCCAGCAGCCGCGGUAAUAC